GAUGAACGCUGGCGGCGUGCCUAAUACAUGUAAGUCGAGCGAACAGAUGAGAAGCUUGCUUCUCUGAUGUUAGCGGCGGACGGGUGAGUAACACGUGGGUAACCUACCUAUAAGACUGGGAUAACUCCGGGAAACCGGGGCUAAUACCGGAUAAUAUUUUGAACCGCAUGGUUCAAUAGUGAAAGACGGUUUCGGCUGUCACUUAUAGACGGACCCGCGCCGUAUUAGCUAGUUGGUAAGGUAACGGCUUACCAAGGCGACGAUACGUAGCCGACCUGAGAGGGUGAUCGGCCACACGGGAACUGAGACACGGUCCAGACUCCUACGGGAGGCAGCAGUAGGGAAUGUUCCGCAAUGGGCGAAAGCCUGACGGAGCAACGCCGCGUGAGUGAUGAAGGUCUUCGGAUCGUAAAACUCUGUUGUUAGGGAAGAACAAAUUUGUUAGUAACUGAACAAGUCUUGACGGUACCUAACCAGAAAGCCACGGCUAACUACGUGCCAGCCGCCGCCGUAA
rnacentral:rRNA from 1 species